AAACCAACCGGGAUUGCCUUAGUAACGGCGAGUGAAGCGGCAAAAGCUCAAAUUUGAAAUCUGGUACCUUCGGUGCCCGAGUUGUAAUUUGUAGAAGGUAACUUUGGGGCUGGUCCUUGUCUAUGUUCCUUGGAACAGGACGUCAUAGAGGGUGAGAAUCCCGUGUGGCGAGGAUCCCAGUUCUUUGUAAAGUGCUUUCGAAGAGUCGAGUUGUUUGGGAAUGCAGCUCUAAGUGGGUGGUAAAUUCCAUCUAAAGCUAAAUAUUGGCGAGAGACCGAUAGCGAACAAGUACAGUGAUGGAAAGAUGAAAAGAACUUUGAAAAGAGAGUGAAAAAGUACGUGAAAUUGUUGAAAGGGAAGGGCAUUUGAUCAGACAUGGUGUUUUGCGCCCUCUGCUCCUUGUGGGUGGGGGAAUCUCGCAGCUCACUGGGCCAGCAUCAGUUUUGGCGGCAGGAUAAAUCUGCAGGAAUGUAGCUUGCCUCGGUAAGUGUUAUAUCCUGUAGAAAUACUGCCAGCUGGGACUGAGGACUGCGACUUUACGUCAAGGAUGCUGGCAUAAUGGUUAUAUGCCGC
rnacentral:rRNA from 2 species